rnacentral:rRNA from 1 species
GACGAACGCUGGCGGCGUGCUUAACACAUGCAAGUCGAACGAUGAAGCCGGAGCUUGCUCUGGUGAAUUAGUGGCGAACGGGUGAGUAACACGUGAGUAACCUGCCCUUGACUCUGGGAUAACUGCUAGAAAUGGUAGCUAAUACCGGAUACGACCCUCGGAGGCAUCUUCAGGGGGUGGAAAGAAUUUCGGUCAAGGAUGGACUCGCGGCCGAUCAGCUAGUUGGUGAGGUAAUGGCUCACCAAGGCGACGGCGGGUAGCCGGCCUGGGGGGGUGACCGGCCACACUGGGACUGAGACACGGCCCAGACGCCUACGGGAGGCAGCAGUGGGGAAUAUUGCACAAUGGGCGCAAGCCUGAUGCAGCAACGCCGCGUGAGGGAUGACGGCCUUCGGGUUGUAAACCUCUUUUAGUAGGGAAGAAGCGAAAGUGACGGUACCUGCAGAAAAAGCACCGGCUAACUACGUGCCAGCCGCCGCCGUAA